GGUCCUACGGGAGGCAGCAGUGGGGAAUUUUGGACAAUGGGCGCAAGCCUGAUCCAGCUAUUCCGCGUGUGGGAUGAAGGCCCUCGGGUUGUAAACAACUUUUGUAGAGAACGAAAAGACACCUUCGAGUAAAGGGAGUUGCUGACGGUACUCUAAGAAUAAGCACCGGCUAACUACGUGCCAGCAGCCGCGGUCAUACGUAGGGUGCGAGCGUUAAUCGGAAUUCCUGGGCGUAAAGGGUGCGCAGGCGGCUGAGUA
rnacentral:rRNA from 1 species